UAGCGUUUAGCUGCAUUAAAGCGCAGCUUCUUCAUCUAUCCUUUGUGUCCUAUUAUCACACUGAAUUUCAGAAGCCAAGUGUGGAACAGCCCUGCUAUAAUCACGCUGCUGUGUGGGAGGCUAAAACAGUACAUAGAAGAAGGAGCAAGCCUAUUUCUGUGGCUGUUAUGCUGGGCUUACAGUAAAAAGCACAUGAGACUUGAGGGAAUGACGAAACCCCGGGCAAGCAGGAAUCAGGGGACAGAGCUAUAGGAAGACAGAAGUUGUUUCUGGGGUUCAAGAUGGUGGAGUAGAAGGAUGUGCGCUCACUCCCUCUUGCGAGAGCACCGGAAUCACAACUAACUGCUGAACAAUCAUUGACAGGAAGACACUGGGACUCACCCAAAAAGAUACCCCACAUCCAAAGACAAACGAGAAACCACAGUGAGAUGGUAGGAGGGUCACAAUAAAAUCAAACCCCAUAACUGCUGGGUGGGUGACUCACAAACUGGAGAACACUUAUAUCACAGAAGUCCACCCACUGGAGUGAAGGUUCUGAGCCCCACGUCAGGCUUCCCAACUUGGGGUUCCGGCAAUGGGAGGAGGAAUUCCUAGAGAAUCAGACUUUAAAGGCUAACGGGAUUUGAUUGUAGGACUUCGACAGGACUCGGGGAAACAGAGACUCCACUCUUGGAGGGCACACACAAAGUAGUGUGCGCAUCGGGACCCAGGGGAAGGAGCAGUGACCCAGACCUACCUGGGAGACCUACCAUAGAAGACUGAACCAUACCUACCUGCUAGUGUUAGAGGGUCUCCUGCAGAGGCAGGGGGUAGCUGUGUCUCACUGUGGGGACAAGGACACUGGCAGGAAGUUCUGGGAAGUACUCCUUGGCAUGAGCCCUCCCAGAGUCUACCAUUAGCCCCACCAAAGAACUGGGUAGGCUCCAGUGUUGGGUGGCCUCAGGCCAAACAACCAACAAGGAGGGAACUGAGCCACACCCAUCAGCAGACAAGUAGGUUAAAGUUUUACUGAGCUCUGCCCACCAUAGCAACACCCAGCUCUACCCACCACAAGUCCCUCCCAUCAGGAAAGUUGCACAAGCCUCAUAGAUAGCCGAAUCCACCAGAGGGCAGACAGCAGAAGCAAGAAGAACUACAAUCCUGCAGCCUGUGGAGCAAAAACAACAUUCACAGAAAGAUAGACAAAAUGAAAAAGCAGAGGACUAUGUACCAGAUGAAGGAACAAGAUAAAGCCCCAGAAAAACAAUUAAAAGCAGUGGAGAUAGGCAAUCUUCCAGAAAAGGAAUUCAGAAUAAUGGCAGUGAAGAUGAUCCAGGACCUCAGAAAAAGAAUGGAGGCAAAGAACAAGAAGAUACAAGAAAUGUUUUUAAAAGACCUAGAAAAGUUAAAGAACAAACACCUAGAAGAAUAAAAGAACAAACAAACAGAGAUGAACAAUACAAUAACUGAAAUGAAAAAUACACUAGCAGGAAAAAAUAGCAGAAUAACUGUGGCAGAAGAACAGAUAAGUGACCUGGAACAGACAGGUGGAAUUCACUGUCACAGAACAGAAUAAAGAAAAAGGAUGGAAAGAAAUUACGACAGCCUAAGAGAACUCUGGGACAACAUUAAACACACCAAAAUUCGCAUUAUAGGGUUCCCAGAAGGAGAAGAGAAAGAGAAAGGAGCCGAGAAAAUAGUUGAAGAGAUUAUAGUUGAAAACUUCCCUAACAUGAGAAAGGAAAUAGUCACCCAAGUCCAGAAAGUGCAGAGAAUCACAGGCAGGAGAAACCCAAGGAGAAACAUGCUGAUACACAUAGUAAUCAAAUUGACAAAAAUUAAAAACAAAGAAAAAUUAUUAAAAGCAAUAAGGGAAAAAUGAAAAAUAACAUACAAGGGAACUCCCAUGAGGUGAACAGCUGAUUUCUCAGCAGAAACUCUACAAGCCAGCAGGGAGUGGCAUGAUAUAUUUAAAGUGAUUAAACGGAAGAAUCUACAACCAAGAUUACUCUACCCAGCAAGGAUUUCAUUCAGAUUCAAUGGAGAAAUCAAAAGCGUUACAGACAAGCAAAAGCUAAGAGAAUUCAACACCACCAAAACAGCUCUACAACAAAUGCUUAAGGAACUUCUCUAAGUGGGAAACACAAGAGAAGGAAAAGACCUCCAAAAAAAAACUCAAAAGAAUUAGGAAAAUGGUAAUAGGAACAUACAUAUCGAUAAUUACCUUAAAUGUGAAUGUAUUAAAUGCUCCAACCAAAAGACACAAGCUUGCUGAAUGGAUACAAAAACAAGACCCAUAUAUAUGCUGUCUACAAGAGACCUACUUCAGACCUAGGGACACAUAUAGACUGGAAUGAGGGGACAGAAAAAGAUAUUCCAUACAAAUGGAAAACAAAAGAAAGCUGGAGUAACAAUACUCAUAUCAGAUGAAAUAGACUUUAAAAUAAAGACUGUUACAAGAGACAAGUGAGGAUGCUAUAUAAUGAUCAAGGGAUAAAUCUAAGAAGUAGAUAUAACAACUAUAAAUAUAUAUGCAACCAACAUAGGAGCACCUCAAUACAUAAGGCAAAUACUAACAGCUAUAAAAGAGGAAAUCGACAGUAACACAAUAAUAGUGGGGGAUUUUGACACCUCACUUACACCAAUGGACAGAUUAUCAAGACAGACCAUUAAUAAGGAAAACAAACAUUAAAUGACACAAUAGACCAGAUAGAUUUAAAUGAUAUUUAUAGGACAUUCCAUCCAAAAAGAGCAGAUUACACUUUCUUCCCAAGUGCACACAGAACAUUCUCCAGGAUAGAUCACAUCUUGGGUCACAAAUCAAGCUUUGGUAAAUUUAAGAAAACUGAAAUCAUAUCAAGCAUCUUUUCUGUCCGCAACACUAUGAGAUUAGAAAUCAAUUACAGGGAAAUAAAUGUAAAAAACACAAACACAUGGAGGCUAAACAAUACGUUACUACAUAUAAUGCUACUCUACGUCACAUACAUAUAAUGCUAUAAACCUAAAAUACAAAAUACUCCCACUUCUCUGUCUCCCAAGAAACUUUUAUUUUUUUUUAAUCAAAUCUUGACAGGAGAUUUUCAAAGUAUCUUCAGGCUCUGGUGUUAAAGUUCAUCUUGGUACAGGAAUUCCCAACAUGACAGAACUUUCUUAGUUAUAAUUUGUUUUGCAAGGUGUGAGAACAGAAGUGAUGGCUUGAUUCUUAGAAGUGUCAAUAUGGGAAAAUGAAAAAGGUGAUUACAGAAGUAAGUUACAACUCCAAAGUGCCAAACACAAUGUAAUUUUGGGGAAAAAUAGACUCUAUAAAACUCAUGUUUUCCACUAUAGUCAGAAAACUUUCCAAAUACUGUUUUCUCUUAUGAACAGUAGAUCAAAAUAAAUUAUUUCAAUUUUAACUUUUACCAGAAAUGUAAUGCAGUUCUAUCUGAAGGUAAGAUUUACAGUUUUUUUUUUUAUACUGUGUAAAUUUCCCCUUUAAUUUGGAAUUCAGACUUGCCUUUUAGGUAAGGGACUACUUUUACCAGGGGAUGGGAGUAGGUAUGGUACAAACUACUUCAGUGAACCCCUUAAGCUUAACUAUGAGUCAUGUUCUAGAAAAUGUUAAGUGAAAAAAAUCUUAACAGUGAGGAAGAGACAUAAAAACUUUGAAAUCAUAACUUUUUUAGAACCCAUCAAGAAUCAGAGAUUGUGAAGCAACCAAGAAUUCUGAGUUCCAAGAAAGGACAGGCGUAUCCAGGAAAGGUGGUAUGUGCAGAUCAGCUCACUUCUGUGGCAAAGAACAGAAACAAGAGAUGCCAGCCACCAUCAAAUGCCUAAGAAUAAACCAGCUAAAAUUCAAGGUCUUGCUAAAGGCCUGGUGUAGCCUAUCAUGACAGUGGAAACCCACUCAGGGAUGGGGUAGCUAUUCUUUUUCAGACAAAUUAGAUUUCAGAGGAAAAUUAGAAGGACAUCAUGACAAAGAUUUAAAUUCACCAAGAGGACAUAACAAUCUUAAAUGUGUAUAUACCUAACAAUAGAGCUUCAAAAUCAGAAAGCAAAAACUAACAGAACUGGGAGGAAAAAUAGAUAAAUCCAAAAUUUGAUUUAGAGACUUUAACUGUCUAUUCUCAUAAAUGAUAGAACAAGUAGGCAGAAAAUCAGUAAGAGGGCACAAUGUAAGUGAUAUAUAUGGGCUACGCCACUCAGCCAUGAUAGAGUAUACAUUCCUCCCACGUAUACUGGAAUAUUCAUCAGGAUAGACCAUAAUCUAGGCCAUUAAAAAACAUCAACAAAUUAAAACAGUUGAAUCAUGCAAGAGAUAUUUUCUCAUCACAAUACAAUUACAGUAGAAAUCUAGAACAAAAAGACAUCCUCAAAUAUUUGUCAAUGAAGAAACUUAAUUCUUUGCAAAUCAUGGUAUCUAACUGCUUGAUCAAAGAGGAAAAGUAGAAAAUGUUUUGAAUUGAAUAAAAUUGAAAACACAGUAUAUCAAAAUUUGUGGGAUAAACUAAGGAAAUGAUUAGAGGGAAAUCUGAGAAUUGAAUGCUUUUAUUAAAAAAUAUUGAAGGACUUAAACCAAUGAUCUAAUUUUCCACUAAAUAAUAAGAAAAGCAGAACAAAUUAAAGAUAAAACAAGCAGAAGAGAGAAAAUAAUAAAUAUAGAAAUCAAAAUGAAAGACAGAAGCAACAGAGAAAAAGAAAUGAAAUGCAAGAUGGCUCUUUGAUAAGACAAUUAGAACUAGUAAUUCUUUUGCCAUUCUGGUCAAGAAAAAAGAGAAAACAAAUAUCUAAUAUUAAUUAAUAUAAAUAACAAAAUAACUACAAAUCCUGAAGGUAAGAGAAAAAUAUGCUAAUAAUUUUGACAAUUAGUUGAAAUGGAACAAUUUCUUGAAAGAUACAAACAAACAAAGUCUCAGAAAAAAAUGAUCUGAAUACGUAGUACUACAUCUAUUCAAAAAAUUGAAUUUAUAAUUUAAAACUUUCCUGCAAAGAAAACUCCAAGGGCACACAGCUUGACUGGUAUAUUCUACCAAACAUUUAAGGAGAAAAUACUACCAACACUAAACAUACAGAAAAUGGAAGAAGAAGAAACACUUCCCCACUUAUUUUAUGAUGUGAAGAUUACCCUGAUGCCAAAAAGCAGACAAAAACAUUACAAGAAAAGAAAACUACCCAUCAAUAUCCAUUCUGAAUAUAACUGAUAAAAUACUACUUUAUUAAAUCCAGCAGUAUAUAUCCAUCAUGACUAAGUGGAGUUUACCUUAAAUCAAGUUUGUCUCUACAUUAAAAACAAUCAAUUAUAUUCACUAUAUCAAUAGACUAAAGAAGAAAAAUCACAGACCACCAUUUUAUAUAUAUAUAUAUAUAUAUAUAUAUAUAUAAAUUCAAAAUUCUACCAUGAUUAAAAAUAGUCAUAACAACCUCAACAA